rnacentral:rRNA from 1 species
AACGAACGCUGGCGGCAUGCCUAACACAUGCAAGUCGAACGAGACCUUCGGGUCUAUUUGCGCACGGGUGCGUAACGCGUGGGAACCUGCCCUUAGGUUCGGAAUAACUCCCCGAAAGGGGUGCUAAUACCGGAUAAUGUCUUCGGACCAAAGAUUUAUCGCCUUUGGAUGGGCCCUCGUUGGAUUAGCUAGUUGGUAGGGUAAAAGCCUACCAAGGCGACGAUCCAUAGCUGGUCUGAGAGGAUGAUCAGCCACACUGGGACUGAGACACGGCCCAGACUCCUACGGGAAGCAGCAGUGGGGAAUAUUGGACACUGGGCGAAAGUCUGAUCCAGCAAUGCCGCGUGAGUGAUGAAGGCCUUAGGGUUGUAAAGCUCUUUUACCCGGGAUGAUAAUGACAGUACCGGGAGAAUAAGCUCCGGCUAACUACGUG